rnacentral:rRNA from 1 species
UACGUAGGGUGCGAGCGUUUAAUCGGAAUUACUGGGCGUAAAGCGUGCGCAGGCGGUUUGUAAGCCAGAUGUGAAAUCCCCGGGCUCAACCUGGGAAUGGCAUUUGAUACUCGAGGGCUUGAGUACGGGAGAGGAGAGUGGAAUUCCCAGUGUAGAGGUGAAAUUCGUAGAUAUUGGGAAGAACACCGGUGGCGAAGGCGGCUCUCUGGACCGUAACUGACGCUGAGGCGCGAAAGCGUGGGGAG